rnacentral:rRNA from 1 species
UACGUAGGGUGCGAGCGUUGAUCGGAAUUACUGGGCGUAAAGCGUGCGCAGGCGGUUUUGUAAGCCAGAUGUGAAAGCCCCGGGCUCAACCUGGGAAUGGCAUUUGGGACUGCAAGGCUUGAGUGCGGCAGAGGAGACUGGAAUUCCUGGUGUAGCAGUGAAAUGCGUAGAUAUCAGGAGGAAUACCGAUGGCGAAGGCAGGUCUCUGGGCUGACACUGACGCUCAUGCACGAAAGCGUGGGGAGCAAACAGG